GGGCACAUGGUGGCUUAGUGGUUAGCACUUUCGCCUCACACCUCCAGGGUCCGGGGGUUCGAUUCCCACCGUGGCCC